ensembl:snRNA U6 U6 spliceosomal RNA
GUGCUCACUUAGGCAGCACAUGUACUAAAAUUGGAAUGAUACAAAGAAGAUUAGCAUGGUCCCUGUGCUAGGGAAAAAGGCACAUUUUCCAAGAGAUCUAUUAUUUU